UACGAGGGAGCUAGCGUUGUUCGGAAUCACUGGGCGUAAAGCGCACGUAGGUGGAUUAGUAAGUCAGGGUGAAAGCCCAGAGCUCAACUCUGGAAUUGCCCUUGAUACUGCUAGUCUAGAGUUUGGGAGAGGUAAGCGGAAUUCCAAGUGUAGAGGUGAAAUUCGUAGAUAUUCGGAGGAACACCAGAGGCGAAGGCGGCUUACUGGCCCAAUACUGACACUGAGGUGCGAAAGCGUGGGGAGCAAACAGG
rnacentral:rRNA from 1 species